rnacentral:misc_RNA from 1 species
GGUUUUACAUUUCAUGCAAUCAAUUAGGGAUCAUAUCAUGGAGGAGAAAUACUGAGAUUAGUUGAACGUUUGAACCAUCUUCAGCAACAAAAUUCUGGCCUUCGUAUUUUCAUAAGCCAAGAUGGCAUAAAGUUUUUUCCUUGGAACAGAAACAGAGUUUCAUUAACAGGGGCGUUUAACAGCCGGUACUACGUUCAGGAGAUGGAGUCUAAACAAAAAACAACAACCAAG